rnacentral:rRNA from 1 species
AUUGAACGCUGGCGGCAGGCCUAACACAUGCAAGUCGAACGAGUGGCGGACGGGUGAGUAAUGUCUGGGAAACUGCCUGAGGGAGGGGGAUAACUACUGGAAACGGUAGCUAAUACCGCAUACCAUCGGAUGUGCCCAGAUGGGAGUAGCUAGUAGGUGGGGUAACGGCGCACCUAGGCGACGAUCACUAGCUGGUCUGAGAGGGUGACCGGCCAAAAUGGACCUGAGACACGUUGCAUACUCCUAUGGGAGGGUGCAGUGGGGAAUAUUGCAAAAUGGGCCCAAGCCUGAUGCAGCCAUGCCGCGUGUAUGACGAAGGCCUUCGGGUUGUAAAGUACUUUCAGCGGGGAGGCGUUACCCGCAGAAGAAGCACCGGCUAACUCCGUGCCAGCAGCCGCGGUAAUAC